rnacentral:rRNA from 1 species
ACGGGUGAGUAAUGUCUGGGAAACUGCCUGAUGGAGGGGGAUAACUACUGGAAACGGUAGCUAAUACCGCAUGACCUCGUAAGAGCAAAGUGGGGGACCUUCGGGCCUCACGCCAUCGGAUGUGCCCAGAUGGGAUUAGCUAGUAGGUGAGGUAAUGGCUCACCUAGGCGACGAUCCCUAGCUGGUCUGAGAGGAUGACCAGCCACACUGGAACUGAGACACGGUCCAGACUCCUACGGGAGGCAGCAGUGGGGAAUAUUGCACAAUGGGCGCAAGCCUGAUGCAGCCAUGCCGCGUGUGUGAAGAAGGCCUUAGGGUUGUAAAGCACUUUCAGCGAGGAGGAAGGGUUCAGUGUUAAUAGCACUGAGCAUUGACGUUACUCGCAGAAGAAGCACCGGCUAACUCCGUGCCAGCAGCCGCGGUAAUACGGAGGGUGCAAGCGUUAAUCGGAAUUACUGGGCGUAAAGCGCACGCAGGCGGUUUGUUAAGUCAGAUGUGAAAUCCCCGAGCUUAACUUGGGAACUGCAUUUGAAACUGGCAAGCUAGAGUCUUGUAGAGGGGGGUAGAAUUCCAGGUGUA